AUUGAACGCCGGCGGCAGGCCUAACACAUGCAAGUCGAAUGGUAACAGGAAACAGCUUGCUGUUUCGCUGACGAGUGGCGGACGGGUGAGUAAUGUCUGGGAAACUGCCUGAUGGAGGGGGAUAACUACUGGAAACGGUAGCUAAUACCGCAUAACGUCGCAAGACCAAAGAGGGGGACCUUCGGGCCUCUUGCCAUCAGAUGUGCCCAGAUGGGAUUAGCUAGUAGGUGGGGUAACGGCUCACCUAGGCGACGAUCCCUAGCUGGUCUGAGAGGAUGACCAGCCGCACUGGAACUGAGACACGGUCCAGACUCCUACGGGAGGCAGCAGUGGGGAAUAUUGCACAAUGGGCGCAAGCCUGAUGCAGCCAUGCCGCGUGUAUGAAGAAGGCCUUCGGGUUGUAAAGUACUUUCAGCGGGGAGGAAGGGAGUAAAGUUAAUACCUUGGCUCAUUGACGUUACCCGCAGAAGAAGCACCGGCUAACUCCGUG
rnacentral:rRNA from 1 species